rnacentral:lncRNA from 1 species
CUUUAAGAGCAGACUCCCUUAGUACAGAUUUCUCAGAUUAUAAAUAAGAUUCCUCCAAAUUAAUUUCCAAAACAGAGCUAUUUUAUAAACACCAAGGUCUAUCAGUGUAAGACCUGUUCUUUCCUGCUUGGUAUGAGAUCAUUUGUGCAUAAAAUACUUGGCCAAAGUGUUUUAUAGGUUUGUUGGGAAAAUCAAAUAAAUAACAUGUAAACGUAUCUUACAAAUUAUGAAGCCACAUAUAAACGUAAAUUUGCUCUUUUUUAAUGAUAAGCAAUUCAGAUAUUUGGGCAAGUGGCAUGACCAUGGAUUAUUUCACUGGUUUUCUUCCUCGUAGCCCUUGCUCUCCAGCUAUUGACAUCAGUGUGGAGUCAGUAAUUCUUUUCUUAGAAGCUGAAGUUAUCAUUUACAGUAAAUUUGGUUUUAGUUCUUUGUCAUCCUUAUUUACCUGAAGCUCCUUCAGGAAAAUUACUCUGAGCUCAGAAUUAGCUUAGAUAACUUAUAAAUAGGUGUAUAACAGGGAUCAGAAAGCCACUCUAGGCCUGACAUGCUUGACAGGCUCUGACGCAGGAGGUGGGAGUUCCUGGCCCUUCUAAACACAGAUGUGACUAUUAGGAGCAAAAGGUACCAAGGGCCCUAUUUCCCACUGGCGAGGCUUCUUAUUCAGCCCUCACUCUUCUUUCUGUUCACGUUUCCUCUUCAGUUCUCAGUGCCACAUCAUUUGGCAUCAGAGAUGAAAAGGAUCUAGGGCUGGUUGUUCUCAGAACCAAGAAGCUUUCAAAACCAGCUUGUGGUAGCCCUUCUUGAGAGCAGCUCAGUCUUCUCAUUGGUUCACUCUGACCAAUCCCAGGAUGCAUAGGGACCCAGGCAAAGCAGGCCCUAGUAAGUCCCUUUUUUUUUUUUUGAAAGACAGAGGCUGGGCGCCAUGGCUCAUGCCUGUAAUCCCAGCACUUUGGGAGGCCAAGAUGGACGGAUCACCUAAGGUCAGGAGUUCGAGACCAGCCUGGCCAACAUGGCCAAACCUGGUCUCUACUAAAGAUACAAAAAUUAGCCGGGGUGGCACGGUGCAGGGCGGUAUG